GUGUUAUUUAUGGGUCUACGAGAUGCACAGAGAAUGACUUCCAGACAGAGUUCUCACUCACUGCCCCUUCAAGAGCAGAGAUGUGGCAACUACAACCUUUUAGAGGGCUUCAGAAGAAGAGCUGAGAGUACCUGCCCACCUCCUGGGAGAAUGAGGGCCAGGAAAGCAGUGCUCACAGAGUGUAUCCAGUGAAUGUUUAUGGACCAAGAGUGCAUCGUGACCACAGGCUGAGAACUGUAUUCAUUCAGGAUUCUGAUGUGACAUACUAGGGUUGAUCUUGCUUAUUCUCCGUGGAUAUUUCCUGUAAUGACACUCAUGCUCCUGCCUUGGUUUCUGGAUAUCAGGACAUGAAGUGGCAGUGACUUGAAGUCAUUAUGAAGGCCUCAGUAGUGCCUGGAUCAAGCAAAAUGAACUAACUACUCCAGAGUAAGAAGGUGCUGAAGAGUCUGUCUGAGCUGGGGAGUCUAGUGGGAGAGGACUCAGAACCCAGAGAACAGCCCCGACUGCCUGCAAGGCUCUUCAUGCUCCACCAUGCACAGGCGGAUGGUAGCUAGGCCUCAG